rnacentral:rRNA from 1 species
UACGGGGGGGCAAGCGUUGUUCGGAAUUACUGGGCGUAAAGGGCUCGUAGGCGGCCAACUAAGUCGGACGUGAAAUCCCUCGGCUUAACCGGGGAACUGCGUCCGAUACUGGAUGGCUUGAGGUUGGGAGAGGGAUGCGGAAUUCCAGGUGUAGCGGUGAAAUGCGUAGAUAUCUGGAGGAACACCGGUGGCGAAGGCGGCAUCCUGGACCAAUUCUGACGCUGAGUGAGCGAAAGCCAGGGGAGCAAACGGG